UUGGAGCCAGAUAAGCGGCAGCCGCUGCGGCAGCCGAGCUAUAAGGAACUGCCCAGCAGAGCAGAGGGGAGUCUCUCCCUGACGAGCAAGGGAGGAGGACUGGCUCCCAGGGAUAGCAUCUGAGAUACAGCAGUGCUGGGCAGGCUCAGGGGAGCGGAGGGUGAGCUCUGGCUUGUUAUCUGCUAGGCUGCAGACCCUCGCUAGAAAAGGCCAAGAAGGGGCAAGGGCCAAGGGGAAGUGGCCCAGGGACGAUAGGCAGACAAGGGGAGAGAAGAAGGGCAGAGAGGCUGCCACUAGAGGGUUCCUGGGUCAGGACCCAGAGUAGCGUGUGGGCUUGGGUCUCCCCCCCACACCUUCCCCCUUGCACUGCACCUGGCUGCAGAGGAGCAUGGCCAAUACAGCCUGCAACUUGCCCCUGAAGUGAGGGGCUAGACUUUAGGCUGUGGUUGGCCCCUGCAGCGGGUGCAAGCCGAAGGACUGUUGUGACCCCCAGAAAGGGGGUGAGAAAGAAGUAGUGGGCACUGCCGGAGGACAGUGCCCUGAAGAGGACAUGGCUGAGCGGAGGAGCAACAGCGGAGUAGAACAAAUAACGGGCAAGACAUCACCCACAGAGGGUGCUCCGGAGCUGGACUGAACUAAUUCCCCGAGCAACCAGCAGAAGGCGCUGCGGUGUGUGCAAAUACAGCCAGGCUCAAUCCUGUCAAUGGUACUGGGUGCUGCACUGCCUACCAAGUGGUCCCACUGAAUGAGACCUGCUCACUGUGAUGGCCGUGCUUUGGAGCAGGGAACAUUUGUACAGUGUCAGCUCAACUGGGGACUCUAGGCAUUAUCAUACUACAUAUACUCUGCCCAAACAGAAGUUGGCUAACUGAUGUGUCCUAAACAAAGGAAUGUGUGCUCGAGCAGGAAGGGAAGACAAAAGAAGAAGAUCAAACAAAUGAAAAAAAGAACCCAGCAACCAGCAGGGAACAUCCUUCCACAUAGAAUCUGUCCCCUUGUUCUCAGCUAGAAACGUUUUUCAUGGGGGAACUGAAACUAUAAAAAGGAGGAACAAACCCUCUAAGGAACCCCUUUCUCUCUCACUGCCUAUUGCAUUUACUGCACCUGAAGAGACAAACGAAGUGUUCGUUUGACUGAGGGAGGGUCCUGACAUGAGAGUUCGGUCUGUAAUCUGCUGGAUCACGUGGUGAAAAACUUUGCUUGAAUCUCAUAUAAAGUUUGUUAAGUUAGGCAUGAGUGAGCAUUUUAUGUUUGUUUUUCUUGUAACCAUUUCUGACUUGUGUCUCAUUACUGGUAUUCAUUUAAAACAAUAAAACGAGUUAGAUUUUAGCUGA